GUAGCGCCCCUUAGUGAUUGAUGAUCAUUACUGCCACUUACUGAGAGUAAGCGUAAGAGGAUGUUUAGUGCAAUCAACAGUGGGGUGGGCGGAGCUACCAUGCAAAUAGCCACCAGAUCGACAGAGAUUGACUAGCCAAACGAACUCAUGGUGAAUCACCAUCCACUUUCCUUGAAUGGAAAAUAGAAUCUCAGACAGAGCGUAAUAUGGUGUCGGAAUAGGGCUUCAUGUCACUCCACUGGCUCAUGAUUGGAAUGGAAUGGAACAGAUAAAGUCGCUGAAACACAUUAGGGUAUCUAUGGGUUUGCAGAGCUGGAGAAAUGUUCCUGCCCUCGAG